GGGUUGUGAGGUUAAGCGACUAAGCGUACACGGUGGAUGCCCUGGCAGUCAGAGGCGAUGAAGGACGUGCUAAUCUGCGAAAAGCGUCGGUAAGGUGAUAUGAACCGUUACAGCCGGCGAUGUCCGAAUGGGGAAACCCAGUGCAAUUCGUUGCACUAUCGUUAACUGAAUACAUAGGUUAACGAGGCGAACCGGGGGAACUGAAACAUCUAAGUACCCCGAGGAAAAGAAAUCAACCGAGAUUCCCCCAGUAGCGGCGAGCGAACGGGGAGCAGCCCAGAGUCUGAAUCAGCUUGUGUGUUAGUGGAACGGUCUGGAAAGUCCGACGGUACAGGGUGAUAGUCCCGUACACCAAAAUGCACAGGUUGUGAACUCGAAGAGUAGGGCGGGACACGUGGUAUCCUGUCUGAAUAUGGGGGGACCAUCCUCCAAGGCUAAAUACUCCUGACUGACCGAUAGUGAACCAGUACCGUGAGGGAAAGGCGAAAAGAACCCCGGCGAGGGGAGUGAAAAAGAACCUGAAACCGUGUACGUACAAGCAGUGGGAGCACCUUCGGGUGUGACUGCGUACCUUUUGUAUAAUGGGUCAGCGACUUAUAUUCUGUAGCAAGGUUAACCGUAUAGGGGAGCCGCAGGGAAACCGAGUCUUAACUGGGCGUUAAGUUGCAGGGUAUAGACCCGAAACCCGGUGAUCUAGCCAUGGGCAGGUUGAAGGUUGGGUAACACUAACUGGAGGACCGAACCGACUAAUGUUGAAAAAUUAGCGGAUGACUUGUGGCUGGGGGUGAAAGGCCAAUCAAACCGGGAGAUAGCUGGUUCUCCCCGAAAGCUAUUUAGGUAGCGCCUCGUGAAUUCAUCUUCGGGGGUAGAGCACUGUUUCGGCUAGGGGGUCAUCCCGACUUACCAACCCGAUGCAAACUACGAAUACCGAAGAAUGUUAUCACGGGAGACACACGGCGGGUGCUAACGUCCGUCGUGAAGAGGGAAACAACCCAGACCGCCAGCUAAGGUCCCAAAGUCACAGUUAAGUGGGAAACGAUGUGGGAAGGCACAGACAGCCAGGAUGUUGGCUUAGAAGCAGCCAUCAUUUAAAGAAAGCGUAAUAGCUCACUGGUCGAGUCGGCCUGCGCGGAAGAUGUAACGGGGCUAAACUGUGCACCGAAGCUGCGGCAGCGACACUUAGGUGUUGUUGGGUAGGGGAGCGUUCUGUAAGCCUGCGAAGGUGGCCUGUGAGGGUUGCUGGAGGUAUCAGAAGUGCGAAUGCUGACAUAAGUAACGAUAAUGCGGGUGAAAAGCCCGCACGCCGGAAGACCAAGGGUUCCUGUCCAACGUUAAUCGGGGCAGGGUGAGUCGACCCCUAAGGCGAGGCCGAAAGGCGUAGUCGAUGGGAAACAGGUUAAUAUUCCUGUACUUGGUGUUACUGCGAAGGGGGGACGGAGAAGGCUAUGUUAGCCGGGCGACGGUUGUCCCGGUUUAAGCAUGUAGGCGGAGGUUCCAGGUAAAUCCGGUACCUUUUAACGCUGAGGUGUGAUGACGAGGCACUACGGUGCUGAAGUAACAAAUGCCCUGCUUCCAGGAAAAGCCUCUAAGCAUCAGGUAACAUUAAAUCGUACCCCAAACCGACACAGGUGGUCAGGUAGAGAAUACCAAGGCGCUUGAGAGAACUCGGGUGAAGGAACUAGGCAAAAUGGUGCCGUAACUUCGGGAGAAGGCACGCUGAUAUGUAGGUGAAGCCCCUGCGGGUGGAGCUGAAAUCAGUCGAAGAUACCAGCUGGCUGCAACUGUUUAUUAAAAACACAGCACUGUGCAAACACGAAAGUGGACGUAUACGGUGUGACGCCUGCCCGGUGCCGGAAGGUUAAUUGAUGGGGUUAUCCGUAAGGAGAAGCUCUUGAUCGAAGCCCCGGUAAACGGCGGCCGUAACUAUAACGGUCCUAAGGUAGCGAAAUUCCUUGUCGGGUAAGUUCCGACCUGCACGAAUGGCGUAAUGAUGGCCAGGCUGUCUCCACCCGAGACUCAGUGAAAUUGAACUCGCUGUGAAGAUGCAGUGUACCCGCGGCAAGACGGAAAGACCCCGUGAACCUUUACUAUAGCUUGACACUGAACAUUGAGCCUUGAUGUGUAGGAUAGGUGGGAGGCUUUGAAGCGUGGACGCCAGUCUGCGUGGAGCCAACCUUGAAAUACCACCCUUUAAUGUUUGAUGUUCUAACGUUGGCCCCUUAUCGGGGUUGCGGACAGUGUCUGGUGGGUAGUUUGACUGGGGCGGUCUCCUCCCAAAGAGUAACGGAGGAGCACGAAGGUUAGCUAAUCCUGGUCGGACAUCAGGAGGUUAGUGCAAUGGCAUAAGCUAGCUUGACUGCGAGCGUGACGGCGCGAGCAGGUGCGAAAGCAGGUCAUAGUGAUCCGGUGGUUCUGAAUGGAAGGGCCAUCGCUCAACGGAUAAAAGGUACUCCGGGGAUAACAGGCUGAUACCGCCCAAGAGUUCAUAUCGACGGCGGUGUUUGGCACCUCGAUGUCGGCUCAUCACAUCCUGGGGCUGAAGUAGGUCCCAAGGGUAUGGCUGUUCGCCAUUUAAAGUGGUACGCGAGCUGGGUUUAGAACGUCGUGAGACAGUUCGGUCCCUAUCUGCCGUGGGCGCUGGAGAAUUGAGGGGGGCUGCUCCUAGUACGAGAGGACCGGAGUGGACGCAUCACUGGUGUUCGGGUUGUCAUGCCAAUGGCAUUGCCCGGUAGCUAAAUGCGGAAGAGAUAAGUGCUGAAAGCAUCUAAGCACGAAACUUGCCCCGAGAUGAGUUCUCCCUGAGACUUUAAGUCUCCUGAAGGAACGUUAAAGACGAUGACGUUGAUAGGUCGGGUGUGUAAGCGUAGCGAUACGUUGAGCUAACCGAUACUAAUGAACCGUGAGGCUUAACCUUACAACGCCGAAG
rnacentral:rRNA from 1 species